UUCUCACACUCCGAUGUCAGGACAAUAACGCUGAAAGCAUUUGAAAUUUAUCAAUUCUCACUCUAGCAGAAGGUAGUUUCGGAAUUUGUCGAUUAUUACAAAUGAGGCCUUAUCACUGAAGUUUGUAACAUUCGAUAUCAGCGGAUAACUGCCAUUAAGCUACACGAAAAAGCUCUCAGCUCUACAGUCUGAGUCUGACCGACUCGUCCGACGAGCGACUGUCGGCGGCACUGCGAUCGCAGGCCCCUCACGGUGUGCGCUUACUCGGGCAAGUGUCGUGGGGAUUUGUUAAUGUAGAGGCUGACUGUACGCUGUAGGUGUCUGCAGACUUCCAUCGUUAGAGGAACAGUUCUAUGAACAGUACAUGCCAUUCUCGGGAGUGUGGACCACUUCGUUGGUUACUAGAGUUCCUCAUCUGUCCCCAAAACUGUCAUUUACUGCAGCUAGGCAUUUAGCACUAAUAAAAUGUGAGUUACAUAAAAUGGAAGUGUCCGACAUAUCAGCAGCCGUGAAGAUAUGAAAAUUUAAAGGUAGCUCCAUUUUGAGCAGUACAAACUUUAAUAGAUGCAAUAAUUCUAAUUUGUUAAUCCUGUGGUGUAGUCCACGUACUGUGUGAAAGUGACUUGUCAACAUAUGAUCAAAGAACAUUUAUUAUAAACUUUCCUGGUGAUCUCAGUGAACUGCAUUUGGUAAUAUCAAGACCUAUGGACUGGUCAAGAGACUUACUCAGUUAUAAUGCAUAAUAUAAACAAACACAGGCACAAAAGUUUUAUAUGUAUAUCUAACCAAUUGUAUAAGAAAUCUUUAAAUAAGAAUGUAAAAUGACUGUGUAAACUGUGUGACUAGUAAUAAUUGAAGGUUAUUGGCAACGAAAUGUUGUUGUAAGCUUGUAGUGUAUCUUACGGAAUAUGCCCAUGACACAGUCAAGUCCUAGGAGCAAUACACAUUGGGUUCAGAGCUGGCUAGAAAUAACUUUUUCAGUUAUUUUGAAAUUUAACUUAGUCAUCUGCCAGAAUGCCUACGAUGUUGGGGGCUGGAAUAAAUCUGCAGUAACUCAUUUUAUGUUGUAAAAGGCAAAUAAAAGGUGUCUUAUACCUAG